UACGAAGGGGCUAGCGUUGCUCGGAAUCACUGGGCGUAAAGCGCACGUAGGCGGAUUGCUAAGUCAGGGGUGAAUCCUGGAGCUCAACUCCAGAACUGCCUUUGAUACUGGCGACCUUGAGUCCGGGAGAGGUGAGUGGAACUGCGAGUGUAGAGGUGAAAUUCGUAGAUAUUCGCAAGAACACCAGUGGCGAAGGCGGCUCACUGGCCCGGUACUGACGCUGAGGUGCGAAAGCGUGGGAGCAACAGG
rnacentral:rRNA from 1 species